UACGUAGGGUGCAAGCGUUGUCCGGAAUUAUUGGGCGUAAAGAGCGUGUAGGCGGCUUGGCAAGUCUGACGUGAAAGCCCGCGGCUCAACCGCGGAUUGUCGUUGGAAACUGCCUCGCUAGAGUCCGGAAGAGGAGAGCGGAAUUCCUGGUGUAGCGGUGGAAUGCGCAGAUAUCAGGAAGAACACCCGUGGCGAAGGCGGCUCUCUGGGGACGGUACUGACGCUGAGACGCGAAAGCGUGGGGAGCGAACAGG
rnacentral:rRNA from 1 species